AUGGGACCCACAUCUCUCAACUACUCUGUGAGCUGCUGUUACCAUGAUGGGCACCUGGAGCUCUCUGGCCAGAGCCAGCAUAACAGUGAGGCCUUGUGGGCUAGAUUCCCAGGCAAGGCCUCCCUGCUCGCAGAGCUGCAGAUACAUGAGGCCCAGACCCAGGCCGGCGUGGCCCUCUGUAACAGGGACGGUGGGGUCAGCGUGGACCUGGCAGCCCUGGUGGCUUGGCCACUGCAUGGCCGGCUGCAGCUGGUGGCCAAUGCCAGCCACACAGUGCCUGCUCUUCAGAGGCUGGUCCUGCCCUUCUCCAGCCAGGUAAGGAGUGGAUGGGAAAGACCUCCGUCCAAAUUCUGUCGCCUCUGUCCAAUUCCUGGGGUGCAGAAGACCCGCUGUGUGCAGGGCAGAUGGGGAGGGCCAGGACUUGGCUUUCCCCAGCACUUUACAGUUUACAAAGGCUUCAUUUGUAAUCGCUGUAACCAGGUCUGCUGAGCAGUCUCUGCCUUUGCAAUCACAGGGCUGGUGUGGACGGGCGCCCUGGAUUAGUGCCUGGCUUCUGACCUGUCUUUCUGCCCUGCAGUCUUGGGUCAGAAUCAGAGCUCCUGCUUGUCUAGUGCCUGCCCCGUGCCAGUCCCCUUUGAAGGGUUCAUGGGCAUUUGUUAGUUUCAUCCUCCCAAUGCCCCAGAGAGAGGCAGGAUGGCCCCUUCCUUACCAAGCUUUUUCCAGUGUUUGGAUCCCUCCUCUGCUACUUGCCAGCUGUGUGGCCCUGGGCAAAUUCCUUCGCCUCUCCGUGCCCUCAUCUCCUAAUCUGCAAAAUCAGGAUGAUGAUACUACCUAUAAUGGGGAGGUUGUGAGGAUUGAGUGAGUUAAUCUCAUGAAUGCCUGAGUAGAUGCUUAAGAAGCACUUGUGAUAAAGAUGAAAACGGUGAUGCUCAUGUUGUGACAGUGACCAUUAUCAUCAUCACCAUCAUAUCUGGGUCACAGGCGAAAUUGUGGGUGACUUGCCCAAGGUCACCUAGCAAGCAAGCAGCAAAAUAGGGCCUCAGACUUGGCACCCAGGUCCUUCCUCAUGGGGCCCUGCUGCCUCGGCAGAAGAACCCACAUGGGGCCAUGCCCUGUCGACUGUCACUUGGCAUGAACUCUCCCUGCCUGGCUGGCCCUCCUUCUCCAAGAGCCACAGAGUGUGUUCCAAAGCAGGCUCCAAUGCUUCUUUCCCAUACACACUCCUGUUUCAGAUUACCCAGCAACCCUGCCCUAGUCCUCUCUGCGGUGGGAGGAGGGGGUGGCUCCUGGGGUCUCAGGGGGCCAGGAUAUCACCCCUCCUGCAAAGGAUCUCAGCUCUGUAUCCCACAAUUGACUGGACUGGAUAUCCCAUGCCCCUGACUUCAUCUACACUCUAUCCUGGACUCGAAGCCAGGUGAUGGGGAGCCCCCGGGGGAGCAUGUUCUCGGCCGAUGUCUGGGCUGCAGCUGUCCUUUGAGUGGGCAUUUCCAUCCUGAGCUGCAACAGGGGCCGACCCCUUGCAUCCUCAGCAUCCAUGAGAGUGUUGGAUGAGCCAGGCCUGUGGGGCUUGGGGACAGGGACGUGCUGGGCUGUAGAGCUUGACUGGAGUCCCCAUCUGGCCGAUGAGGGUCCUCUGGCUGUCUCUACCCACAUACCUUGCAGUCUGCUCACUCCUCAGCUCAUGUUCCUAGGACUCUGGGCAGUAGAAGAGAUAAGCUCCUCGCUGCUGCUGACCUGCAAUUCUCAGGCCAGCUUGGUCGUUGACAUCUGUGGCCAGAACCAGGCAGUCAGGUGAGGCCCCCACCUACCAGGAGAGGAGUCCAGAGAAACCAUUGGCUGGGCACCUACUGUGCACCGAUGCUGGACACAGCACCUCUCAAUCCUCUGCUCAGCCCUGCAGCACCGAUGUGGGCAGGGAGGCUCAGAGAGGGCAAGUGACUUUUCCAAGGUCACCUAGCUAUAAAAAUCCCUCAACCUCUCCAGGCAGAGCAAUGAUGAGUUCCUGGUCUCAGAAACUAAGUGCAUCCCAGGCUCUAGACACUUACUAGUGAUUAUGACUGCCCUUAGGGCUAGGCGCCUGGUGAGGUGCUCGGUGUUCUCAUGCAUGCGCUACAUCAGGCGCCACCAGCCAGUUU
rnacentral:lncRNA from 1 species